AUCCAUGAGAAGACACAGUGUUCCAUCCAGAGGAUGUAGCAUCAAGGCGUCAUCUUAAAAGCAGAGAAAAGACUCUUACUUGACACCAGAUGCCAGUGCAUUGAUCUUGGACUUCCCAGCCUCUAGAACUAUUUAGUUCAGCCUGGUGUGGAUGCAUUUCAGAAUCUGUGAAAAAUGGAAUCACAAUGCUGUGACAGCAGCAUUUCUGCCUGUGGUAUCUGUGAAGCAGGUAAACAGCCCUGGGACAAAGAACAGACUACGGGUAUUGCCUUCUUAAUCAACAAUAAAGUAUUAGUUGGCUUCCAGGCAGACACCACUGACUUUCAAGAGAAAGGCACGGGAGUAAGGAAGUAAAGAAUUCAGGUGCUGCUUGAAAAUACAACAAACUGUCUUCAGAAUACUUUUAUGUGUUGUUGAAAGAAAGCACUGCAGCUAAUAUAGCUACAAAGGAGAAACAGUUAUUCUUAAAUGUCAUCUAUUUGCUGGACCUGAACAGGAAUUCACUAUGGAGCUCAUACAACUACCACCUUCAGCUAUUAAUCAAGGAGUCAUUCAACUGAGAAAGGGGAGAUUGAGAUGUUGAAUCAUUUCUCAUUCUGUGAAGUCUACCAGAAUAACCCAUAAAGCAAAUAUCAACCUAUUUCAAUUAGAAAAAUGAAAAAUACUGAUACAGCAGACGAAUUCUGGAACUAACACUUCCACAAAUCAUUGAUAAUCCAUUUUCCAACUUCUUCAAAUUCCAGACCAUCAACAAGCUAUUCAAAACAAUAAAUGUUAAUAGUUUUGGUGGAGUUAAGCAGCAGAAGUUAAAAGCAUUGUGGAAGACAGUAUGGUGAUUCCUCAAGGAUCUAGAAGCGGAAAUACCAUUUGACCCAGCAAUCCCAUUAUUGGGACAUCAAGGGCUCCGGACAUUGUGAAAGUUUCCCUUUAAGUUACGACGGGAAUCCAGAACAACGCCGUAUGGACCCCUCUGCAGGUAGCAAGGAAAAGCGCCAGUAACUUUUAAAGGCUUGUUUUGCAUAUUAUUCAGGCCUAAAUCACGGUUCUCAUAAAUUGAUUAUCAUGUCCCUUUCAUCUGUCCAUUUAUGCUUCUAAAUGGUUCUUAAUGGUUCACUAUAUUUGAAGGCCAUAACCAUUUGCUGAUGAGUUACUAGUUUAAUUUGUCACUAUUUCUCCAAUACAUAUAUGUAAGUGCUUAUCGUCUUUUAAUCCUAGAUAUUCUUCUGGAAGUAAUAAUAAAAGUUGAAAGCUGGAAGGAAAA
rnacentral:lncRNA from 1 species